UCCUAGUUAGUAUAGUGGUGAGUAUCCCGCCUGUCACGGAGGAGACGGGUUCGAUUCCCGGACGGGGGA
rnacentral:tRNA from 1 species